GUGGGGAAUAUUGGACAAUGGGCGAAAGCCUGAUCCAGCCAUGCCGCGUGUGUGAAGAAGGUCUUCGGAUUAUAAAGCACUUUAAGUUGGGAGGAAGGGCAGCAAGUUAAUACCUUGCUGUUUUGACGUUACCGACAGAAUAAGCACCGGCUAACUUCGUGCCAGCAGCCGCGGUAAUACGAAGGGUGCAAGCGUUAAUCGGAAUUACUGGGCGUAAAGCGCGCGUAGGUGGGUUUGUAAGUUGGAGGUGAAAUCCCCGGGCUCAACCUGGGAACUGCCUCCAAAACUGCAUGACUAGAGUACGGUAGAGGGUAGUGGAAUUUCCUGUGUAGCGGUGAAAUGCGUAGAUAUAGGAAGGAACACCAGUGGCGAAGGCGACUACCUGGACUGAUACUGACGCUGAGGUGCGAAAGCGUGGGGAGCAAACAGGAUUAGAAACCCCUGUAGUCC
rnacentral:rRNA from 1 species